GUGGGGAAUAUUGGACAAUGGGCGAAAGCCUGAUCCAGCCAUGCCGCGUGUGUGAAGAAGGUCUUCGGAUUGUAAAGCACUUUAAGUUGGGAGGAAGGGCAGUAAGUUAAUACCUUGCUGUUUUGACGUUACCGACAGAAUAAGCACCGGCUAACUUCGUGCCAGCAGCCGCGGUACUAUGAAGGGUGCAAGCGUUAAUCGGAAUUACUGGGCGUAAAGCGCGCGUAGGUGGUUUUGUAAGUUGGAGGUGAAAUCCCCGGGCUCAACCUGGGAACUGCCUCCAAAACUGCAUGACUAGAGUACGGUAGAUGGUAGUGGUAUUUCCUGUGUAGCGGUGAAAUGCGUAGAUAUAGGAAGGAACACCAGUGGCGAAGGCGACUACCUGGACUGAUACUGACACUGAGGUGCGAAAGCGUGGGGAGCAAACAGGAUUAGAUACCCCUGUAGUCC
rnacentral:rRNA from 1 species